UACGGGGGGGGCAAGCGUUGUUCGGAUUCAUUGGGCGUAAAGAGCGUGUAGGCGGCCAGGUAGGUCGGUUGUGAAAACUGGAGGCUCAACCUUCAGAGGUCGACCGAAACCAUCUGGCUAGAGUCCGGGAGAGGAGAGUGGAAUUCCUGGUGUAGCGGUGAAAUGCGCAGAUAUCAGGAAGAACACCCGUGGCGAAAGCGGCUCUCUGGAACGGUACUGACGCUGAGACGCGAAAGCGUGGGGAGCGAACAGG
rnacentral:rRNA from 1 species